rnacentral:rRNA from 1 species
AGAGUUUGAUCCUGGCUCAGGACGAACGCUGGCGGCGUGCUUAACACAUGCAAGUCGAACGAUGAAGCUCUUCGGAGUGGAUUAGUGGCGAACGGGUGAGUAACACGUGGGAAAUCUGCCCUGCACUCUGGGACAAGCCUUGGAAACGAGGUCUAAUACCGGAUAUGACCUUCCUCUGCAUGGGGGUUGGUGGAAAGCUCCGGCGGUGCAGGAUGAUCCCGCGGCCUAUCAGCUUGUUGGUGGGGUAAUGGCCUACCAAGGCGACGACGGGUAGCCGGCCUGAGAGGGCGACCGGCCACACUGGGACUGAGACACGGCCCAGACUCCUACGGGAGGCAGCAGUGGGGAAUAUUGCACAAUGGGCGAAAGCCUGAUGCAGCGACGCCGCGUGAGGGAUGACGGCCUUCGGGCUGUAAACCUCUUUCAGCAGGGAAGAAGCGCAAGUGACGGUACCUGCAGAAGAAGCACCGGCUAACUACGUGCCAGCAGCCGCGGUA